GACGAACGCUGGCGGCGUGCUUAACACAUGCAAGUCGAGCGGUAAGGCCCUUUCGGGGGUACACGAGCGGCGAACGGGUGAGUAACACGUGGGUGACCUGCCCUCAGCUCUGGGAUAAGCCUGGGAAACUGGGUCUAAUACUGGAUAUGACUCCACGGUGCAUGUCGUGGGGUGGAAAGCCUUGUGCGGCUGAGGAUGGGCCCGCGGCCUAUCAGCUUGUUGGUGGGGUGAUGGCCUACCAAGGCGACAACGGGUAGCCGGCCUGAGAGGGCGACCGGCCACACUGGGACUGAGACACGGCCCAGACUCCUACGGGAGGCAGCAGUGGGGAAUCUUGCGCAAUGGGCGAAAGCCUGACGCAGCGACGCCGCGUGAGGGACGACGGCC
rnacentral:rRNA from 1 species